rnacentral:rRNA from 1 species
GGUUAAGUUAGAAAGGGCGCACGGUGGAUGCCUUGGCACUAGGAGCCGAUGAAGGACGGGACGAACACCGAUAUGCUUCGGGGAGCUGUAAGCAAGCUUUGAUCCGGAGAUUUCCGAAUGGGGAAACCCACCACUCGUAAUGGAGUGGUAUCCAUAUCUGAAGACAUAGGAUAUGAGAAGGCAGACCCGGGGAACUGAAACAUCUAAGUACCCGGAGGAAGAGAAAGCAAAUGCGAUUCCCUGAGUAGCGGCGAGCGAAACGGGACCAGCCCAAACCAAGAGGCUUGCCUUUUGGGGUUGUAGGACACUCUGUACGGAGUUACAAAGGAACGAGGUAGAUGAAGAGGUCUGGAAAGGCCCGCCAUAGGAGGUAACAGCCCUGUAGUCAAAACUUCGUUCUCUCCUGAGUGGAUCCUGAGUACGGCGGAACACGUGAAAUUCCGUCGGAAUCCGGGAGGACCAUCUCCCAAGGCUAAAUACUCCCUAGUGACCGAUAGUGAACCAGUACCGUGAGGGAAAGGUGAAAAGCACCCCGGAAGGGGAGUGAAAGAGAUCCUGAAACCGUGUGCCUACAAGUAGUCAGAGCCCGUUAACGGGUGAUGGCGUGCCUUUUGUAGAAUGAACCGGCGAGUUACGAUCCCGUGCAAGGUUAAGCAGAAGAUGCGGAGCCGCAGCGAAAGCGAGUCUGAAUAGGGCGAAUUGAGUACGUGGUCGUAGACCCGAAACCAGGUGAUCUACCCAUGUCCAGGGUGAAGUUCAGGUAACACUGAAUGGAGGCCCGAACCCACGCACGUUGAAAAGUGCGGGGAUGAGGUGUGGGUAGGGGUGAAAUGCCAAUCGAACCUGGAGAUAGCUGGUUCUCUCCGAAAUAGCUUUAGGGCUAGCCUCAAGGUAAGAGUCUCGGAGGUAGAGCACUGAUUGGACUAGGGGCCCCUACCGGGUUACCGAAUUCAGUCAAACUCCGAAUGCCGAUGACUUAUCCUUGGGAGUCAGACUGCGAGUGAUAAGAUCCGUAGUCGAAAGGGAAACAGCCCAGACCGCCAGCUAAGGUCCCAAAGUAUACGUUAAGUGGAAAAGGAUGUGGAGUUGCUUAGACAACCAGGAUGUUGGCUUAGAAGCAGCCACCAUUUAAAGAGUGCGUAAUAGCUCACUGGUCGAGUGACUCUGCGCCGAAAAUGUACCGGGGCUAAACGUAUCACCGAAGCUGCGGACUGUUCUUCGAACAGUGGUAGGAGAGCGUUCUAAGGGCUGUGAAGCAAGACCGGAAGGACUUGUGGAGCGCUUAGAAGUGAGAAUGCCGGUAUGAGUAGCGAAAGAGGGGUGAGAAUCCCCUCCACCGAAUGCCUAAGGUUUCCUGAGGAAGGCUCGUCCGCUCAGGGUUAGUCGGGACCUAAGCCGAGGCCGAAAGGCGUAGGCGAUGGAUAACAGGUUGAUAUUCCUGUACCACCUCCUCACCAUUUGAGCAAUGGGGGGACGCAGGAGGAUAGGGUAAGCGCGGUAUUGGAUAUCCGCGUCCAAGCAGUUAGGCUGGGAAAUAGGCAAAUCCGUUUCCCGUGAAGGCUGAGCUGUGAUGGCGAGCGAAUUAUAGUAGCGAAGUUCCUGAUUCCACACUGCCAAGAAAAGCCUCUAGCGAGGUGAGAGGUGCCCGUACCGCAAACCGACACAGGUAGGCGAGGAGAGAAUCCUAAGGUGAUCGAGAGAACUCUCGUUAAGGAACUCGGCAAAAUGACCCCGUAACUUCGGGAGAAGGGGUGCUCUGUUAGGGUGCAAGCCCGAGAGAGCCGCAGUGAAUAGGCCCAGGCGACUGUUUAGCAAAAACACAGGUCUCUGCGAAGCCGUAAGGCGAAGUAUAGGGGCUGACGCCUGCCCGGUGCUGGAAGGUUAAGAGGAGCGCUUAGCGUAAGCGAAGGUGCGAAUUGAAGCCCCAGUAAACGGCGGCCGUAACUAUAACGGUCCUAAGGUAGCGAAAUUCCUUGUCGGGUAAGUUCCGACCCGCACGAAAGGCGCAACGAUCUGGGCACUGUCUCAACGAGAGACUCGGUGAAAUUAUAGUACCUGUGAAGAUGCAGGUUACCCGCGACAGGACGGAAAGACCCCGUGGAGCUUUACUGCAGCCUGAUAUUGAAUGUUGGUACAGCUUGUACAGGAUAGGUAGGAGCCUUGGAAACCGGAGCGCCAGCUUCGGUGGAGGCAUCGGUGGGAUACUACCCUGGCUGUAUUGACCUUCUAACCCGCCGCCCUUAUCGGGCGGGGAGACAGUGUCAGGUGGGCAGUUUGACUGGGGCGGUCGCCUCCUAAAAGGUAACGGAGGCGCCCAAAGGUUCCCUCAGAAUGGUUGGAAAUCAUUCGCAGAGUGUAAAGGCACAAGGGAGCUUGACUGCGAGACCUACAAGUCGAGCAGGGACGAAAGUCGGGCUUAGUGAUCCGGUGGUUCCGCAUGGAAGGGCCAUCGCUCAACGGAUAAAAGCUACCCCGGGGAUAACAGGCUUAUCUCCCCCAAGAGUCCACAUCGACGGGGAGGUUUGGCACCUCGAUGUCGGCUCAUCGCAUCCUGGGGCUGUAGUCGGUCCCAAGGGUUGGGCUGUUCGCCCAUUAAAGCGGUACGCGAGCUGGGUUCAGAACGUCGUGAGACAGUUCGGUCCCUAUCCGUCGCGGGCGCAGGAAAUUUGAGAGGAGCUGUCCUUAGUACGAGAGGACCGGGAUGGACGCACCGCUGGUGUACCAGUUGUUCUGCCAAGGGCAUCGCUGGGUAGCUAUGUGCGGACGGGAUAAGUGCUGAAAGCAUCUAAGCAUGAAGCCCCCCUCAAGAUGAGAUUUCCCAUUCCGCAAGGAAGUAAGAUCCCUGAAAGAUGAUCAGGUUGAUAGGUCUGAGGUGGAAGUGUGGCGACACAUGGAGCUGACAGAUACUAAUCGAUCGAGGACUUAACCAA